GAUCCUGGCUCAGGAUGAACGCUGGCGGCGUGCCUAAUACAUGCAAGUCGAGCGAGAAUCAAUUGAACAGAGAUUCGUCAACGGGAUAUUGAGGAAAGCGGCGGACGGGUGAGUAACGCGUAGGCAACCUGCCCUUAGCAGAGGGAUAGCCAUUGGAAACGAUGAUUAAAACCUCAUAAUGCUGUUGGGACACAUGUCCCUGCAGCCAAAGAUUUUAUCGGCUAAGGAUGGGCCUGCCCGUCUGAUUAACUAGUUGGUGAGGUAACGGCCCACCAAGGUGACGAUCAGUAGCCGACCUGAGAGGGUGAUCGGCCACAUUGGAACUGAGACACGGUCCAAACUUCUACGGAAGGCAGCAGUAAGGAAUCUUGCACAAUGGGGGAAACCCUGAUGCAGCAACGCCGCGUGAACGAUGAAGGCCUUAGGGUUGUAAAGUUCUGAUCUGUGGGAAGAAGAAGUGACGGUACCACAGGAGAAAGCCCCGGCUAAAUACGUGCCAGCCGCAGC
rnacentral:rRNA from 1 species